CAGAGGUAUUUUCAAUUUUUCAUCUGCCACUCAGAAAAAAGGGAGAGGGGUUGCAAAGAGAGUAGCCUCUGGUCCUUUGGUUAUUUGGGCAUGGAAAGUUGGGGUUUUCCUUUUGAUUUAGUUCUAGGAAGUCAGCGUGAAUCAGCCUUAGGUUCCCCGCCUCCAGACCCUCUUCUCCUGCCUCAGCCGUGGUUUAAACCAAACAUGCAGCGUAUUGUCUGCCUACCUCAAGGAAGGCCGUCCAAAGGCUCUCUGGGCGGCUAGGACAUCUCUGUGUUUGGACUUCCCGGUCUCUUUCUUCCCUUCUCCCUCACCAGCCAACCCUGGUGCUUACUUUCCAUCCUUAUGACAAACUCCUGGCACGAUAGGGUGGCCAGUGCUCUAGCGGUUACUCCCAACCUUGCAGGCAGUCAGACGCCGAAGAGCUGGAGGACAAAGGAAACACCCGCUGCCCCUACUCCUCUCAUCCUUCUAGGCAGCUCUCCCGGCGUCACCUGGACAUUGCUUUCAUCAGAGGCUGCUUUGAGGAAAGGAGGGGGGUCGCUCUUAGCUGUUGGCAGCUGGAUCCGUCGGUUCUGGUGCUCUGUGGCCAGAACCUUUGAACCUUCUCAUAGGACUUGCAGUAAAACUUGCUUACGAAGAACUGCACAUGGAAAAGCUACUCAUUAGAACCAAACA
rnacentral:lncRNA from 10 species